rnacentral:rRNA from 1 species
AUUGAACGCUGGCGGAAUGCUUUACACAUGCAAGUCGAACGGCAGCACGGACUUCGGUCUGGUGGCGAGUGGCGAACGGGUGAGUAAUGUAUCGGAACGUGCCCAGUCGUGGGGGAUAACGUAGUGAAAAUUACGCUAAUACCGCAUACGAUCUAUGGAUGAAAGCGGGGGAUCGCAAGACCUCGCGCGAUUGGAGCGGCCGAUAUCAGAUUAGGUAGUUGGUGGGGUAAAGGCCCACCAAGCCAACGAUCUGUAGCUGGCCUGAGAGGACGACAAGCCAGACUGGAACUGAGACACGGGCCAGACUCCUACGGGAGGCAGCAGUGGGGAAUUUUGGACAAUGGGCGGAAGCCUGAUCCAGCCAUUCCGCGUGCAGGAUGAAGGCCCUCGGGUUGUAAACUGCUUUUGUACAGAACGAAAAGGUUUCUACUAAUACUAGGAGCUCAUGACGGUACUGUAAGAAUAAGCACCGGCUAACUACGUGCCAGCAGCCGCCGUAA